CAGCAGAUGCGUCAUACAUGACGCCAAACAAGAUGCGCCAGAUGCGACAUUUUUUCUCCGCGAGCAUCAUGGUUGAGGCAACAGACUACACGAACUCUUAUGUUGCAGCGAUCGUCACAAAGGGCGAAGAAAAAGCCGCGGCGGGUUCCAGCAUAAAGCACCCUUCAAAACGCUGCUGAUAUUUUUUUCACCCCUUUGGUCUUUAUUGUAUCUGGACGCACAAGUCAACAGUGAAUGCGUCACCACUGGAAGUACCAUCAAGGCAAGAAUCCUCCCUAGGAAGACUGAAAAAAGAGAGAUUAUUGGUCUGCUAGCCGUCUACGCCAUGUCAUAUAAAUCUCAACGGUCACCAUAAUGACAACAGACCUUCUUGAAGUAUGUGCCUCAAGAUAAAAUGAUUGCAAGGUCACCAGAUUAGAGGAGUGUGCGCCUUGUCACAAAAAGCAGCAGUCUACAGUUUUGUAUCAUAGCGAGUGGGGAUGUUAAAACUUGACAUACAAGCUUACUUGCCUUUAAGACAGUUUUAUGACAAACGCACAGGUACUAUGUUGAGUACCGACUUGUUUUUUUUUGUCAUUAUAACCAUGACGACCAUACCAAACAAUGUAGCGAACUCCUACUUGCUAAUGCACAAACUGUGUCAUCUUCUCCUAGCAAAUUAGCUCGACGGGCAUUACUGCCAAGUCUCACAUGCUCCCUCACAACGUAAAUUUAUUAUAUGAAAAAUGAAUAAAUUUAAAACGAUAAAAUGCUCUCAGUGCAAUUCUGAGGCAAUGAUACCGUAUGUUGACUGAAUCUCUGGCAGUCACUCUUGCAUGAUUCAUGUACAGUUACCACGAAAUCGAUAAAUAAACUGGGCUAGCCCUGUAGCAUAAGAAGUAGCUAUAAAAGGCAAGUUACAGCUGGACAUGCGACGUCACCGCGAGCGACUAAAAUUAUUUUACUUAUAUUAUCAUAACAAAAUAAAACUAGAGAAAGGUAUUUCAUUGAGCCUCCCUUACCCGUGGCGCUAGGCGUUCCUGUCAUUCUAAAAAAGUCGGCGCAUUUUUGUGUAAAACAAAUGUAUUCAAACACUCAUUUUUCCCGCACCAUUGUUCAAUGGAAGAUUGCCUGGAAACGUGGUCAAUUCUGAAACGGUGAACUUGUUUCUACAAGCCCUGAGUGAACAAUAGGGCACACAAGUAAUCUCUUUCGAGUCGAGUGUGUCGCUUUUGUACUCGAUUCUACUGUGUUAUGGACUAAGGUCGAGUCUCGUUGUUUGCUGCCUCUGUUGCAAUGUACGUUUUCUCUGUUUUUAUUAUUUCUGUACCCAACUCCUGCCGAAGGCUUGUAAUACAGGCUGGUGGUAUUUGCUAAAUAAAUAAAUAAAUAAAUAAAUAAACAAACAAAUAUUUAAUUAAUUAAUUAAUUAAUUAAUUAAUAAAGCAGAGGCUUCCUUACGCACAAUUCCACUGAUUCCACUAUGCAUGAGGAAGCGGUUGUUCAGGCAGAAUUAAAUAUAUUUCUGGAACAACGUAAGUGGUGAAAUGACUCGCCGCCCACGUACCAUGUCAAGUACGCACAUAUAGCAGUAACAAGUAUGGGUUCCUUCAACCCUUGCAGUAUUUUUAGCAUGCGUCUCAUUGUGUGCUUGCCCAAGUA